rnacentral:rRNA from 1 species
AUCGGUGACAGGUGGUGGCAUGGUUGUCGUCAGCUCGUGUCGUGAGAUGUUGGGUUAAGUCCCGCAACGAGCGCAACCCCUAUUGUUAGUUGCCAUCAUUCAGUUGGGCACUCUAGCGAGACUGCCGGUAAUAAACCGGAGGAAGUGGGGAUGACGUCAAAUCAUCAUGCCCCUUAUGACCUGGGCUACACACGUGCUACAAUGGUUGGUACAACGAGUUGCGAGUCGGUGACGGCGAGCUAAUCUCUUAAAGCCAAUCUCAGUUCGGAUUGUAGGCUGCAACUCGCCUACAUGAAGUCGGAAUCGCUAGUAAUCGCGGAUCAGCACGCCGCGGUCGAAUACGUUCCGGGCCUU